rnacentral:lncRNA from 1 species
AGGCAGUGAAUGGCUUGUAUAAAGUUAUUUUGGGUUAGAAUAUGUUAUAAUACAAUGAAUUUGAUUGAUUACAAGUGCUAGAGAUGCAUGAAAAAUGUUUAGACGUGAGAAGAAAGACUUGUUGAUAGUUGGUCCCAAAUAGGAUAAGAACUCAAAACCAUUGCUUUGAGGCAAAGAAUGACUUGUAUAAAGUUAUUUUAGGUUAGAAUAUGUUAUAAUACAAUGAAUUUGAUUGAUUACAAGUGCUAGAGAUGCAUGAAGAAUGUUUAGACGUGAGAAGAAAGACUUGUUGAUAUUUG